GAGUUUGAUCCUGGCUCAGGACGAACGCUGGCGGCGUGCUUAACACAUGCAAGUCGAGCGGUGACCCUCCCUCGGGAGGUGAUCAGCGGCGAACGGGUGAGUAACACGUGGGCAACCUGCCCCUCACACUGGGAUAACCUCGGGAAACCGGGGCUAAUACCGGAUACGACCUCGAGCGGCAUCUCUUGAGGUGGAAAGCUCCGACGGUGAGGGAUGGGCCCGCGGCCUAUCAGCUAGUUGGUGGGGUAAUGGCCUACCAAGGCGACGACGGGUAGCCGGCCUGAGAGGGCGACCGGCCACACUGGGACUGAGACACGGCCCAGACUCCUACGGGAGGCAGCAGUGGGGAAUAUUGCGCAAUGGGCGAAAGCCUGACGCAGCGACGCCGCGUGAGGGAUGAAGGCCUUCGGUUGGUAAACCUCUUUCUAGCAGGACGAAGCGAAAGUGACGGUACCUGCAGAAGAAGCACCGGCUAACUACGUGCCAGCAGCCGCAG
rnacentral:rRNA from 1 species